GGUGAGAUGGCCGAGCGGUCUAAGGCGCCAGACUAAGGACCAGGGUGUUUGACACCCAAUCAGUGAGCUUCAGCUUACGUAAUCUGGUCCUCCGGGGCGUGGGUUCGAAUCCCACUCUCAUCA